UUUGCAGGGGCACUCAAAUUCAAGAAAUGUCAAGCUACUGGCUAUGGAUGCGUGCCGUUUAACCAAUGCCCUCCACCGUAUUGGGCACCUCGCUCUGGCUGUGCGUGUGGCUCUAUUUGCUGCAACUUCGGAAGAAUGAAUGCCUGCUCUUUGGCUGGAGGAACUUGUGAAGUACAGUGCAGAACCCGAAUUCCAAAAGUCAAGUGUCCUGGAUUCAAGAAGUGCUGUGCCAAGGUGCCUAGUUAAGGAAACGCCAUUAUAGUAUGCAAACAUGCCAUAUUUAACGCUGUAGUAGGGCAUAAAAACAGCAUUAGGCAUUCUCUUUACCUUUCUGUUCAUCACAUGUCUGAAACGAAGUAUUAAAUGAGCACAAAAAGAUGAAUAAAUUUCAACACAAGCG